rnacentral:rRNA from 1 species
ACAGAGGUCCCAAGCGUUGUUCGGAUUCACUGGGCGUAAAGGGUGCGUAGGUGGCCAGGUAAGUUUGGUGUGAAAGCUCGGAGCUUAACUCCGAAAAGUCAUUGAAUACUAUCUGGCUGGAGGGUCGGAGGGGAGACUGGAAUUCUCGGUGUAGCAGUGAAAUGCGUAGAUAUCGAGAGGAACACCAGUGGCGAAGGCGAGUCUCUGGACGACUCCUGACACUGAGGCACGAAAGCUAGGGGAGCAAACAGGA